UUCAUUGUCGGGCGGCUUUCCACCUGUACAUCUGUCGUUAUUAAAGUUUGAAUAAUUAUUUAAAAUUUGAAAUAACUAUAGACUAUAGCAACAGUUUAUUUAGAUGCAAAUACUAAUAAUUAUAUUUCACAGAUGUUCCAGAACAUAUAGCAAGUCCAUGUACAUUUAUUUGUGGGAUACCUUCAAUUAAGCGCCUUCUCCUUUUCCAUGGCAUGUAUGCGGUCCUAAUGAGAACUUUGUUUUUUUAAGGAGAAAUUGUUGUAAUAUCCUCCACGUGCAGUGCAGUACCUUAAUUUUACAUUUCACACGACUGAAAAAAAGACAUUGGCUUGAAUUACGAGAGUCGUGUAUGUACCGCGCGCGCUCUCUCUGGGGCGCUCUCUCUCUCUCUCUCUCUCACACACACACACACACACACACACACACACACACACACCCUAUUAACUCGUAGCUCUGUGCACCCAAUCAGGGGCCGAGGUUGCCCGACGAGUGUCUCGAAGAAGCUGUGAAGUUUAAAAUAUCCGCACGUCCAAGAACGAUAAAAAAGUGGUCCUCGCUCAAACUCGGCUUGCAACUCUCAAGCGAACUAAUUCAGGAGGACGUGUCUUCGACCGCGUGGCUCCUGUCCCGCGUGACGAACCUGCGCGAGCUGCUGCUCCGACAGGCGCCCCUCUUCUCCGACUCGCACAACAAGAGGCUCAAAAUGAAGAGGAUGGAGAAAUAUUUUCAACAGCUGAGGGAUUUCUUAUCAAGAGAAAAGCACGGGCGGUGCGCGUGGGAGCUGGUGAGGGCCGAACUGGAGCAGCUCUUCAUCAUCUUCACCAAGUUCUUGAGCAGCUACUCGGGCGCGGGCCACAAGGUGAAGGUGGAGAAAACGAAGGCGAGGCGUGUAUGACAAUAUUUAUUGUAUUUAUUUAGUUCGAGACGAGCGUCGUCUAUAAGCUCAGCCUUUGUUCUUUCUAGAAUUAUGUUUUCAAUUCCCCCACACGUUUUUUUUUCCGUACUGUAACCUUUUAUACUGUAGAGUAGUUACUGCAAUAAAAGGCAUUGUUCAAGCA
rnacentral:lncRNA from 1 species